UCUACAAGCCAAGGAGAGAGACCUCAGGAGAAACCAACCCUGCUGACACCUUCAUCUGGGACUUCAGCCUCCAGAAUUGAGGGAAAAUGGAUGUAUGCUGUUUAGGCCACCCUGUCUGUGGUGGUUUAUUAUGGCAGCCCUAGAAGACUAACACAGGUGGUUCUAUCAACUGUGAGUUGGACACCCGAUAACCAAAGACACUUGAACUUCCUUCUUAGGUUUUGGCAGCAUCACAGAUAGCCGGGGUGGCCAUCUGAAUGACUGCCAGGUAAGUGAGAUGUUGCUGUUUUGGCCAGAAUGAUGGGGAGUCCUCCAUAGAUGUGACAGUUACCCAGGGGUCUGGAAUGUGAGGGUCAUUCAUACCUUCCACCUGUGUUCCAUCUGCCUCCUCAGAGAGUCUCUGAUGCUUCUGCAUAGGCUGGCUGCUCCGGGGCAUGGCUGUCAGGAAGGCUUCCCUUCUGGCCUCCCAGCCUGGCUGGCAUCCUGCUGAAUCUGUAACUCUCAUGGGAGACAGAUGCAAUGCAUCUUCCUACAUCUCUGUAAAGAUCCGGAAAGAUACACAGAUUUGUUAGAAUUCAUUCAGAACCAUCACACAGACUGGCAAGGCAGUUUGUUAAAUGUCAAAAAAAAAAAAUCUCAAGGGCCAAAAGAGAAGCUGAGCAAAUCGGCCCAUGAGACAGAAGCCACUGGCACCAGUUCUGAUUUGGCACUGGUUCCCAUAGGGGCAGGGGACAUGUUGGUCCCUAAGGGGAAUGCUCAGUGCCUGUGAUUUUAUUUAAAUGAAGUAUUCCUCCCUCCUGGCCAACUGAGCACAGCUGCACUGGGGACCCUGAGUAUUUGCUAACCUCUGUACAAGCCGCUUUACGGAUUCCUAAGCACAGUCACAGUGCCGCAGGGAAGGAUAAAGUGGACAGGCCACCCCCCAGCAUUCUCCACUGCUACCUCCAGAACCACAAAUCUCUCUAUCCCCAUGUCUUUCCCAUGAGAUUUUACACCAGACACCCUUACUCUGUCAGCAGAUAUAGAGAAAAGACAUGCUUCAGGUUUAUUUUAUAAAUAUAUUAUGGCCCAGAUAAGCCAAUUAACCAUUGAAGACAGGAUUUUUAACUGAAAAAUGCAGGUACCAAGUAAUAGAGAAAACAAACAAUCCCUCCCCUAACAGGUCCCCACCAUCCCCUAGGAGCCCUCCUUAGGCCCUAUUGCUCCUCCCUACUGGGACACUGAUUCACAGGACUGUCAUUGGGAGUAACAAGAUGGGGUUUUGUGAUCUUGAGACUAUCAAAGGACUUUCUUGGGCCUGCCGAGUGGCUCAGCUGGUUAAGAGCUCACUUGGGAUGCCAGUUCUGAGCAGCAGGGCCA